ACUACGGGAGGCAGCAGUGGGGAAUAUUGGGCAAUGGGCGCAAGCCUGACCCAGCAACGCCGCGUGAAGGAAGAAGGCUUUCGGGUUGUAACCUUCUUUUCUCAGGGACGAAGAAAGUGACGGUACCUGAUGAAUAAGCCACGGCUAACUCCGUGCCAGCAGCCGCGUCAAUACGUAGGUGGCAAGCGUUAUCCGGAUUUAUUGGGUGUAAAGGGCGUGUAGGCGGGAGCGCAAGUCAGAUUGGAAAACUCAGGGCUCAACCCUGAGCCUGCAUUUGAAACUGUGUUUCUUGAGUGCUGGAUAGGCAAUGGGAAUUCCGUGUGUAGCGGUGAAAUGCGUAGAUAUACGGAGGAACACCAGUGGCGAAGGCGGAUUGCUGGACAGUAACUGACGCUGAGGCGCGAAAGCGUGGGGAGCAAACAGGAUUAGAUACCCGGGUAGUC
rnacentral:rRNA from 1 species